rnacentral:lncRNA from 1 species
GUUCGUAGUAUAGUCUUAGUAGUUGGAACAGCAGGUAUGUUAUGUUGUGGUGCUGCCUGCCUCAAAGGUAGUUUGUCUGUAACAGUAUAAUCUAGGUAAGAUGCCUUUAGCAACUUAAGAAACACCAACCUGCAUUAUAUAUUUAACCUGCAACUGUAAGUACACUAAUGAAAAGUUAUUCAUCAUUCUAAACUUCGGGGGUUUUUUGGGGGGGGGACUAAUUAAAGGGUCAAAUGCAUAUUUCCGCAUAUAUCUGCAAAUGGGAACUAGAGGCUAAUGCCCACAUGCUGAUCCUAUGAAGCCCUCUGUAUACACUUUUAUAUUCUCUGCUUAUGGAGAUGGCAAAAUAUGUCAUUGCUGAUCGCAUAAUUGUAAGUUACAUGAUCUGAGAGAAAUGAAGAUAUGGGCAUGAAAUGAUCUUUUUUAAAAAACAAACACGUGGACUGAUCUCUCCCCUAAGCUGGAGUGCUGUUGCAUAAUAGCAUAAUAAGUGCCUUCCUGGAUCAGAUGAAAGGCUCUUCCAGUCCUCCUGUUCUCUAACAGAGAAAUUCCAGAUCCCACCACCACCACCAAAAAAUCUGGUGCUAGUUUUGUGCCGCAAACCAUGUCUUGUUCUGGCGCCCAAACUGAGUAAUUGUCACUCAAAACGGGGUCACAGGUAAGUGGCCCCAUACCCAACCUUGUCCGAUUGGCUCCAAACCAGUACCAGAAUGGUGUGCCAGUUUGGUGCCAUUUUGUGCCACAAGCCCCACUUUCUGUGCCGUCCCCCAAACUGAGUAAUUAACGCUCAACCCAUAAGUGCCAUUAGUGGGCACUUGUGGGCUAAGUGGGGAAUUAAGUGGGCUACGUGGGCACUUUAGUUACCGUAGCUAAGGCUGGCUAAAUGGGGACUUAAGUUGGCUAAGUAGGGACUUAAGCUAAGGGGACUUAGCCAACCUCAGCCACAGAAAGCAGGGUUUGAGGCACAAAAUGACACCAAACCAGCAUACCACUUUGGCACCUGUUUGGAGUCAAUCAGACAAGGUUGGAUUUUUGGUCAUUUUCUUGUGCCCCUAAUUUGCUUUGUCAAUUACUCGGUUUGGGGUGGUGGUGGCAUAAAACAUGGAGUUGACGGCACAAAACAGCACCACUUUCACUAAACUUAGGCAUCGGUUUUGGGGGGUGGAAUCAGAAUUUUGGGGUCACAUGUUAAUGAAGCUCAACCAGAUGCCUCUGGGAAGCCCGUAAGGACCUGAGCACUUUCCUAAGCGCUUUCCUAAGCGGUAUUCAGCCCCCUGCUGCCUCCAACUGUGCAGCUAGAACAUAGCCAUUGAGGCAGGUAGCCACCAACAGGCAUAGCCUCUUUGAUCUUUUCCUUUCCCUCGUUGAAGGCCAUCCAAGUUUCAGGGGCGGAGCUUCAUGCUCCGGCACCAGGGGCAGAAAGGAGGCGGGGCCGUGGCUGGUGUGCGUCCCGGAGGUGUGGCGCACCUCUUGCGGGGGCGUGGCGCCCAGCGCAGGGGGGGAGCAGCCACGAUGGCAGCCACGAUGGCACCCCGCCAGGAUCGUGGUGCCAGGGGCAGUGCGCUCCCCCGCCUCCCUCUUCCUCGCCAGUGCCAAGUUUAUGGCCAUGGCUGCAUUUUGCCGUAACCACAUUUCACAGUUUAAACUGUGGUCUGUGUGAAGUAGUCUCUUGUACUUCCUGUCACUUCGUAUUAGAUGCUUUGGCUAUUGGCUGUCUCUCUGUUCGUCCCAGCCCACUGAGAUUGGGGGAAGGCCAAGUAAGGAAGUGCUUUCAUCAGUCUUCCAUCCAUUCUCUUAAUUUCUGGCAAGUUGGUGUUGUUGUUUUCUUUUUUUCAAAUGUUUAUUUUAUGAAUUGGGAUGUUGGAAUGAGGGGAGGGAGGGGAGCAACAAGGAGAGGGUGUUUUCUUUUUCUUUUUUUACAUCAUAGAAGGAAACCAUUGUGAGCUCAGCCAAUAUACAGUGGUACCUGGUUACGGACUUAAUUCGUUCCGGAGGUCCAUUCUUAACCUGAAACCGUUCUUAAUCUGAGGUACCACUUUAACUAAUGGGGCCUCCCUCUGCCACCGCCACGCAAUUUUUGUUCUCAUCCUGAGGUAAAGUUCUUAACCCGAGGUACUACUUCCAGGUUAGCGGAGUCUGUAACCCGAAGUUUUUGUAACCUGAGGUGUUUGUAACCCAAGGUACCACUGUAGUGGGAACAAUGGCAAGUCCGUGACAAGCCUGUUAAUUGUUGCUACUGUUUCAACCAAUCAGAGGUUGCUACAUGAUAGCUGGGCCAUGUGGUUUCCAAAAGCCGUGUCUGGGGUUUGUCAGGGCUUCGCUUUCUACACUGCUUUAUAGAGAGAGGGACAGAACAAGGCAACUUCAGCCCAGCAGAAAAUGUUUACGGUUUGCGUCUUCCUUCUUAACUAUCUUGCUGUCUUGAGUAUCUUUCUUGGAUAACACAAACAAUACAGCAUCAUGAAUGAGGGCAUGCUGCAGAGGUGAUUGCAUUUGGCUGGUGAUCAAAUAAUCAAUUUUAUAAGUAUAUUGUUAGUUGCUGGCUCUUUUGAAUGCAGGUCCAUUUUGAAAACAUGAGCAUUAAAGUGCAUGUGGAAGUUAAAACGAUAGCCCUUGGCUGCCACCUAAAGGUUUUAAGUGUCACUAUGAAAGGAUACCCUCCUGUUGAAAAACAGAUAUCACAUUUUGUUCAAGAUGAUUUCACCUCCUGUCUUUACAAGAAACAUCCAGCAUCUUUACUGCAAGUGAGAGGUGGUCAUCCUAGGUACAUAUGCCUGAGCCUUCCCAUCUGCAGAUGUUCUGGUGUUGUAGCAACAGAUUCAAAAUUAGGAUAGAUGAAAACAUAAAUAGCAAAACGCUGGGAGUUAACACAUAAAAUAGUGGUGCCCUAUGUAGAUACAAUCCUUGCAUCAUCGUGCCAUGCGGACUAUUUCUCUCUCUCUCUCUCUCUCUCUCUCUCACACACACACACACACACACACACACACAAAUGUCUUUCAUAGAUAUUACCUUGCUGUUAAAAAAAAAAAAAACACACACAGAUAUACCCUACAAAUAUUCUGGUAUCUUGGUUUUCGAACAGCUUAGUUCUUGAACGUUUUGCCUCCCAAAAGCCACAACCUCAGAAGUGAGUGUUCCGGUUUUCGAACUAUUUUUGGAAGUCGAACGUCCGACGGGGCUUCUGCAGCUUCUGAUUGGCUGCAGGAGCUUCCUGCAGCCAAUCAGAAGCCGCGCUUUGGUUUCCGAACAUUUUGGAAGUUGAACGGACUUCCAGAACAGAUUCCGUUCAACUUCCGAGGUACGACUGUAUACGGACACUUUUAUGAAAGCACAAUGUGUCUGUUUCAUCAUCGUGCACCACCAGUUGCCUCAUGGUACCAGAAAAAUUUAGUACCUUGCAGCAAACUUCCAAGAUGCGCUGUCAUGAAAUGGUAUGCACACUAUGACAGCAUCUCAGAAGUACCAUGCGUCAGAAUAUAGGAAGAGCCGUGCUGAAUGCAUCCAAAUACCUUGUCCAGAAUUCUUUUCCUCACGGUGACUGAUCAGGUGCCUAUCAGAAGCCCAAAGAAUAACACUCUCCCACUUCUGUUUCCCAUCAAUUGUAUUCAGAUGCUUAUUGCCUAUGUCAGAGUGGUAUGAGAUUCUACGGGUUCCAUGUGCUUACCCAGGUUUCAUGUUUCCUUCAGAAAUUAGGCACAGUGGAGACUGUAUUGUCUUUAUAGUAUAUGGUUUAUUUACACAUGUAUACAACCUGAGUCUACAAUGGAGGAAUUUCCAGCAUUCACAUCCUAUGAGGGUCUGGCUUCCUCCUUAAGGGAAGCAUUGGAUUCAAAGGACAGCAAAAAGCCACUUUCUGUGUCUAGUUCCAGCUUGUCCUCCCCAGCUUCCAUGGAGUUCUGCCCUUCCUUUGCCUUCCCACUGCUAACCGACUCUAAGGACCUCCCCUCAGCCUAUGUCAUUUAAAGUGCAAACCCAAAACCUGGCCUUUGUCUGCUGCCAUUAGCCUUUGCCUCUGCUUCUCACUCAGAGCUGGAGUGUUUGCAUUGCCAAUCAUUCUUAAUGACCCAGUACUCUGUUCCCUUUGUUUGUUGCUGAUGCCCCAUCUUCUCCCAGGUGACCUCCUAAGCCCAGAAACCAGGUUUGGCCUGUAUUUUUGUCACUGCUAGAUUCAGCGUCUGGCAGCUUACCUUAAUACUCCAAACAUUGAUUUAUUCCUAUCAUUUAUUAAAUCUAAGGAUGGGGGGGGGAGGAUCUUCAACUUAUAAAUUCAUAACACAUUUAGGGGGAUCUAGCCCCCUCCAAACACUCAUAACACCAGCAAUCACGAUUAGUAGCCUGAUAACCUUUGCCCUUCAUGAAUUUGUUUGCUCUCCAUAUAAAGCAUUCUUACAUCUUGUAUAGUUUAACUAUGUGUUGUGUGAAGAAAUACUUUUUCCUCUCCUGAAUAUCCCACCAUUCAUCUUCAAUGGAUGACCCAAUGUUCUAGUAUUAUGAAAUGCUGGAGGGAUGAAUCUUCCUAUCCAAUUUCUCCACCCGUGAAUAAACCUCUAUUAUGUCUGCCAUCACUCACCCUUUUUUUUUUCAAGCUAAAAAGCCUCAGCCAUUAUAGUUUUUCCUCAUAGGAGAGUUGCUCCAGCCCUUCUUCCACCUCUGAAAUACCCUUUUUAAGAUGUGGCAAUUGAAACUGUAAACAGUACACCAAAUGUCGUAACCUUUGCACUUCUGUGGCUCAGCGGUAAAGCACAUUCUUUGUAUGUUUGAUUCCUGGCAUCUCCAGUUAGGGUUAGGGAAAGAAUCCUUCCUGAUAGCUGGCGUGCUACUGCCAGUCAGUGCAGACAAAACUGCUCUAGAUUGAUCAGUGGUCCGACUCAGUAUACAGCAGCAUCCUAUGUGUGGCAACAGCAUAGAUUGGUAGAAAGGCGUUAUGGUAUUGGCAGUUUUAUUUCUGCUUCUCUUCCUAAUGAUCCCCCAAUGUGGAAUUUAUUGUUUUCACAACAGCUGCACAGUAUUUUCACCAAGCUGUGCUUCAUGACCCCAAGAUCCUCUUCCUGGAUGAUGAUGAUUGCCCCAGUGGUGCAUCACAUUACCUUUGCUUACAUUCAAUUGCAUUUUAAUUUGCACUCCCCCAGUUGGGAAAGAUCCCUUUAAAGCAUUCCACUAUCUCUCUCUUUUUUAACCACCCUAAAACAUGCACAGAUGCAUAUGCAUUCACCACACACGAUUGAGUACAUGCUCCACAUGCAAUUUUCCCAUACUGAAGCCAUAUCUAUCUAAGGCAUUUGCCAACUGCAAACUAGUGGCCUUAAAAGAUUUCUUUUUCCUCUUUUGUAAUGUGAGAGAUUUCAAAGGACUGUUGAUGCAGAGGAGUCAGCAAAGGAUUCCUUAUCUCUCUUCCACUACCCAUCAGAACAUUUUGUACUUUCCCUUGAUCAAAAUUGUUUCAGAAUCAUUUGUAUUAAAAGCUGUGGACGUAAAUUAGCUCAGCCAGACAUCAACUACCAAGGGAUGAAGGACGUUUCGAUUCUUUCCACCCCCGUAAAUACCGCACUGCCUUCCUGUUAUCCCAAUUUGGGAAAAUGUCGUGUUUGACUCAGGGAUGGAAUUCCCUGUGGACAUACUUGGAUGAAGCAAAAGUGGCCCCACUAAAAAGGAUGAGUGAUAUUAAGAUCCAUAUAAAACACCACCAUUUCCACAACAACAGGAGCAAUCCAGGCCACCAACUUCAGUUUGAGCUAUAUGCCAAUUAGGGUCUUACCAUGUUCUCCUAUUAAAAUUGCUCAGAAACCUGAAGAACUGAGUACACCUUGAGGCAAUCUACCAAGGGAUGCUGUCAUGCUACCUGUAGAUGAGUGCCACACCCCAUAGUCACCUUUGACUGGACUUAACUGUCCAGGGGUCCUUUACCUUCACCUUUUACAUAAUGAGAGCACCUUACAGGCACCAAGUAUGCAACGACAACAGGAUGGAAAUGAUGGUGUGGAAGUAGCAACAGUACCUUCCCAUAUCCAAAAAAAGUAACACCUGUGUGGUGCCACCCUUACUUACAAUCCAUCCUCCAGAUUCACCUUUUUGGCGAUACCUAUGACCAGUGUUUUUUUUCUUAAAAAAAAAUGUUUAGGGGUACUCUCAUUUUGACUCGGGAAAAUCACCACUUUAUAGUUCAAAUCGGGCGAAAUAAAUACAGUAAAUGGACAAAAACACAAAGAUUCACAAAAUGUUUAGGGGUAUCCAUACCCCUGCAUUCCCCCCCCCCGAAAAAAGCACUGCCUAUGCGCUAGGAGUUGCUGAUCGGAAGGUCGGCGGUUCGAAUCCCCACGACGGGGUGAGCUCCCGUUGCUCAGUCCCUGCUCCUGCCAACCUAGCAGUUCAAAAGCACGUCAAAGUGCAAGUAGAUAAAUAGGUACCACUCCGGCGGGAAGGUAAACGGCGCUUCCAUGUGCUGCUCUGGUUCGCCGGAAGCGGCUUAGUCAUGCUGGCCACAUGACCUCCGGAAGCUGUACACCGGCUCCCUCGGCCAAUAAAGCGAGAUGAGCGCCGCAACCCCAGAGUCAGUCACAACUGGACCUAAUGGUCAGGGGUCCCUUUACCUUUACCUUUACGACACAACACCCUUGAGUCUCAGGCCCUCCUGCAACUAAAUCCCUAAGUCUUAAUGCAUAUAACUGAAAGAACCACAUAUUGCUUCCCUGCUUCCCCCUGCCUCCACUUCCCUCCUUUUCCUCUGUUUUCCUUCUGUGCUGAAUGUUAUAGACAGUAAGCUCUUCCAGGCAGGGACUAGUCCAUUGUGCUCCGUCAAGUACUGUGCACAAUGAUGAAGCUAUAUCUGAAUCAUGCUAUGAAAUAACUAGAUAACUGGAGAAGUGUCAUUCUCUGCUCUCUGCCUCUUAUCCUUCCCCUAGGUUUGUUCCUAGCUCCACUAAUCCUAGGCUUUCUAUUCCUUUUUCCUCCACUGUCCCUUGUUUUAAAAGUAGGUUAUCUCUGCCCAUGCUGCUUUCAAUCUGAUUGUAAAACUCAGAGACAAUUUAACAAGGCAGCGCUAAUGCCCUCGAGCUUGCUGCCCUGCCGGAGGUCUUUUGGGAGCUGCACUGGCUGGUACAGCCAUGUACCCUCUUGUAGACUGUGUGGGGCUGAGCAGGGGGGUUACUUAGGAAGGGACAGACACAGAUUGCUCUCUCUUCCUUUUGCCUGGCGCAGAACAGUAUUGGUAACUGCAGCAGCUCAAGCAACUAUUGCACCUCAAUAGUUGAGGAGAAUACUGGUAAGAGGAAUGGAAUUAAAGGAAUGGAGGGCAAAUCUGAAAAGUAUGGAUGGGGAAGAGAUGUGGAUGCAAUUUAAAUCUGAUGUUAAACCUGUACAGUUGGUAGAGCAUGAGACUCUUAAUCGCAGGGUCAAGGGCUUAAGAUCCACAAUGGGCAAAAGAUUCCUACAUUGCAAGGAGUUGGGCUAGUAGCAGUAGUCCUUUCCAACUGUACAAUUCUAUGCUUCUCUAAUAAGGUGUGUCGACAUGAAUCUGUCAUAGGUAUAAAUAUAUCCAUAAACUACACCACACGUAAAUCUAACAAGAUGAUAUAUAAGGUUUGCUGGUUAUGGAAUCCAGCCUCGUAUUAGGCAAGGGGGCUCAAGACAUCGCUGUGGCCUGUUCCUUCUCCUACCCACUAUACUAUUGCCAAUAAUAAUAUCAUAUGCAGCUGCUUCAUAUGUAAAGCUCCAGAAGUGCAACUUACAAAGGCCUGUUCUGAAUUUUGAGUUGAAAAGGUGCUAAAACCACGAGGAGGAAAUGCAGUACUUUUACUGUAUGUAGAGAUAUAGUUCAAAGAUCCACCUGCUUCCAUGGCCCAGUGAUGAUAAACAUGUGUGGGCAGAAUAGCGUGCAAUAUGUAGAAGAGAACUAUUUUCAAUGAUGAACUAUUCCAGAUAGUAACAUGGUGAUAAAUACAAUCAUUGCCUCUUGCAAUCGUAAUGUAAUCAUGUUGAUUACAUUCUUACAUAAUAUACCUGUGUAAAGUUUUUUUAAAAAUAAAAUAAAAUACUGGGGUUGGUGGUCUUCAGUUAUGAGAAUAUUUGCCGGGAGUGUGCAUUAUGUUUGGAUGAAUCUCAGCUGCUGAAGAGAAGUGGAAUACUGCAUCUCAGAGGGAUUUUCGGCUUAUUGGAGGUGAAGCAGGAUCUGUACAAUGAAGCGAGUCCAAGCAGGGACCCCUGAAGCACUUCAUGGCGCCUUGGCAAUCCAAAGCAAGCUUCCGCUGAAGGCAAAUUAAAUGUCUUUAAACUUACCUUAAUGCCAGGGUGGGAUGAUGGAAGAAUAGAGAGCAAACAUCAGAGUUGGAAAAAGCGGGUGGAGAGCUCUAUUGAGAGUGGUGGGAUUCAAGUUAGCUGCAAAAUAUCUUCUCCCAGUGGUUUCAAUGGGAUUGAAGCAUGACUAACUUUCUUUGGAUGGGGGCCAGAGUGUAUUUUUAAAGGCAGGCCAUAUGGCAGCUCUUCCACUUGAAAUUAGAGAGAGAGGGAGAGAGAGGGAGGGAGGGGGGGUUCUCUCUGCGCAUAUAUGUGCAGGAAAAAAGAGCAGCUUUCUAUCCUGAAACAAAAAUUAUGUGGUUUUUGUUUAUUUUGUAGAGUUCUAGCCCACCUUUCCAAAAGGCCCUCAGGCAGUUUACAAUAAAAAUAAGCAGCAGCAGCAAUGGUAUAGUUUGAAACAGGCCAUAGAAGGCCCUUGCUGCUAAACCAAAUAAUAGAAAUUAUCUAUGGUUAUUGCAGGGGUCAGUAGCUCCUUUCGAGCUAGUUUUCCAAAGACGACAUAGGUGUCUCCUGGUGAGGCACUCAGAGAGAAAUGCAUCCAGAUUAAGAUGUAAUAAAUAAGCCAGUAGUACAUUAUAUUUAUUAAUUUAACUAACAACGGGGACUCAAUGUAGCUUCUGGGACUUACUUAAGCCCCACCCCUAUAUCCUUAGGCCACACUCUCACCAGUCCUGACUGCACCCCCCCCACACACACACGUUGGUUUGGCUGGAAUCUUUCCUUGAAUUGUGAUAAUGUCUCUCGCUUGCCUGUAUCGAGGGUGAAGAAAUUGGGGGGGGGGUGUUUGUUGAAACCUUUUGCUUUUGCAUUGGUGGAAUGUAUGGUACUAUACAAAAGCAAGAGCGGCAUCCAUUGCUCUGCUUGGCGCCUCUGGCCCCAAUCAAAACUGGCAUGUCCCCCCCCCCCCAAAAGUGACCCAUGAGCAGCCCCAUCCGUGGUUUAUCUUGUCAAAAUAACUCACGUCUCCCUUCUCAAUUCUGACUCACCCUUUACAUUUUCAUGUUUUGGCUGCUGGUUACACACUUUAAUUGAAUUGUUCAAAAGCUGUAAUAAAAAAAAUCUUCAGUUAAAAGUAUAAAAGGUUUUUAUAAAAAUUGAAUAGAAAUAAUGCAUCCUUAACACACACACCUCCCCCCCCCCCCAUGAUGGAGAAAUUGUGGUGGAAUUGGUACAUUUUACAAUUGGUCAUGCAAAGAAACAUUCAAAUGCUGGUCAGUGGUUUGUUUGUUUUUUACUUUUUUAUUGAUUUAUACAAUUUAAAAUUCUCAUAAAAUAUAUAAUUGAUAGAAAAGACAAAAACCCACACACCCAUUCUCCCCCCACCCCCCUUCCCUCAACUUAGCCUUAUGUGUGUGGUUUUUUUGGUAAAUAUAGUCCUUCUGCUUACAUUGUUAUAUCUUAACUUCAUGUUCUUUUAUCUAAAAACAUUCCCAUUCUUAACAUUUUAAAUCAUCUCUUUAAAAGUACUUCUUAUACUUAAUUAUAUUCAAAACAUUGUUCCUUAUCUUUUACAUUCAUUUUCGUGGUUGUACAUGUUUACUCAAACUCUGCUGGCGAGUAUAUUUCAUUACAGUAUUUAUGCAGAUGCAACAUAUAUACGGUAAUUCCCAGUCUUUUUAAAAGUCUCUGUUUUGUUUAUUUCUUGAUCUUCCUGUAAAUUUCGCCAUUUCUGCGUAUUCCAUCAUCUCGGUUUGCCAGUCCUCUUUGGUCGGUGUUUUGUCAUCUUUCCAUUUUUGAGCAAGCAGAGUCCUGGCCAUAAAUGCUGGUCAGAGGUUUUUAAUGAAAUAACGCAAACAACUGGCCAAAAUAUACAAGUGUAUGUAUAUACAAAUAUACAAGUGAGCCCUCAAUUGCCAUUGUUGUCUAUUUUUGAUAAUUUUCAAUUUUUUGUAGAAUCAUAGAAUGGUAGAGUUGGGAGAGACCACAAGGGUCAUCUAGUCCAACCCCCUUUGCAAUGCAGGAUGUAUUUUUUUACCAAUGUGGGGCUCAAACCCACAACCCUGAGAUUAAGAACCUUAUGUUCUACUGAGUGACACUGGUGGACAAAAGUGGGGGCGGGGGAAGCAGCCUGCACUGGGUGCCAUUUGGGAAAAGGGUGCCAUCGCGUCCGCCCCCCCCCCCCCCGGACACACGUCAUGCCCCCGGGAUGUGUGCCAGCCACGCCCACGCCUGUUCUCCGCUCUGGGGGCUGCAACAUGUAGCUCCGCCACUGCCGACCAAUAUAUCUUUUUAAAGAGUUAAUACUUUUCUUUAUCGUGGCAGCUAGAUUAAUAAUCUCCAGUUUCUAAAAGCAGUCACACUCCAACCUGCUGAGUCUGUGGUACAGUGGACGCUUGGGUUGCAAACGUGAUCUGUGCGGGAUGCACGUUCGCAACCUGCAACAGCACGUCUGCGCACGCGCGGGUUGCAAUUCGACUCUUCUGCACAUGCACAAAGCACGAUUUAGCGCUUCUGCACAUGCGCGACCCCCGAAACCUGGAAGUAACCGGUUCCGGUACUUCCGGGUUUUGGCGGGUCCAUAACCCAAAAAAACGCAACCUGAAGCAUCUGUAACCCAAGGUAUGACUGUAAAAGGAAAUGUGGCAAAUUGCUCUGAUGGAAAAUCUUACCUUUUCUUCUUCUUCUUAAAGAAUGGCAAACUGGCACAUGCAGUGUCUUACUUGGAUGUGUCAGGAGUCUUGGAAGCUUCACUACCCUAUAUUCUCCUACAAAUGAACACUGAGCUGGUUUGGAGGUCCUAGCAGGGGAGUGCAGCUAUCGCAUACCCUUGACCGAAGAACGGUACACUCCUUCAAACUGGGAUUGCUGUCCACCGAGCACACAGCUUCAGGAGGGACACAGGAGGAGCAGUGAGGGAGGAAGGGGACACCCACCUAGCUGCCAGAUCAGCCUAAUCAACCCUGGCGAUCAAUGGGGUGACAGAUGUCGCAGACAGAUCUCACUCACAUCUUACCUUUAAAGUAAAAGGCUCAAAUAAACAAUCUGGAAGCAGAUUAAUAUCAUGCCAUAUGGUAUAAAUUUAUUGAGCACGUAACUAAAUCUGAGGGCAUUCUACACACACACCCCACACACAACUGGAAAAUUAUGGACUAUAUUUGACAUAGAUACAGAACCUGCUUGCCAU